rnacentral:tRNA from 1 species
GCCGGGAUGGCGGAACUAGGUAGACGCGCUUGGUUUAGGACCAAGUAGGAGUAAUCCUGUGCAGGUUCGAUUCCUGUUCCCGGCACCA